UCUAAAAUACAAGCUAGUUCACAACAACAUAGAAUUUGGCUACAACAGUCACGAAAAAUUGUUUUAAACCUUCAAUUCACUGCCAGCCCUUAUAUAUCCAUUUCUUCAAUCUCUCUCUCUCUUAUCCUCCAUGGUUUGCUUCUCUUUUUCUCUCAAGAAAUGUACACGUCUAAGAGCUCCAUGGCCUCUAGUUCUUCCUUUUCUUGCUCGCCUUUAUCUCAUGAUUAUGAGAGACCAGACCUUGAAUCCAUAAAGGCGCUUCUAAUUGCAGUAAAUGAAUAUUUUCUCGAGUUCUUAGCAAACGCUGAAUUAUGGAAUUCUUUGAAAUCUCAGUGCAUUUCCAAGCUAAAUAUUAGAAAGCAGGAGUUCUUUGAAUUCUAUGAGCAUUCAGUACUCUCAAAUCUUUACUGGGGCAUUGAAAACAUUGAAGCUGCAAUACAUGCAAAAUGCACAGAAGAGAAAACUACUUGGCUAAUGAACUCGGAAAGAAUGCUUCAGGCCCCAGCAUUGCUUGAUGAACACGGAGUCACAGCUGGAAUUCAAAACCACUACUUGGUUUGCAGUUCAUAUUUUUACCUCUCAGCAGUUAGGAAGCUCCAAAAUGAUGAGUGGCAAGUUGCCCUCCAUUUUCUCCAAGCCAUGUUGGUGUCUCCAAGACUUGUUCGAACUGAACUUGCGCCAGAACUGUGUGGAAAUCUCUUUCCUUCGAGCAUUGUUUUGGAAAUUCAAAUCAUGGGUGGAAAGAAUAAUAAUGAAUCUGUGGCAGAUUUUCUUAAGGAGGCCAAUGUCAAUGAUGCAAUCAGGGAGAUUGCAAGGAGAUACAAACACUGGCUAAUGUAUUAUCAGGUCAUGUUACAUGGAGCAACUCCUCAGUGGCAUUGCAGAAGCAGAGGGAGUUCGUCCUAUAAAGGCGAGUCACUGCGUUUUUGGCAAGCGACUAGCAGGACUGACUCUUCAAAUUCAAUAGAGCACGAAUACUUCCAAAAGUACAAGGACAAGAAAUUGCAUCCAUUUGGUCCUCAACAAUAUACAGUUGAUGAUACAGCAGAGAAACCUAAGACAUGCACGGAAAUUCGAGAACUUCAGGAUGACAAUAAAGCUUUUAAUCAGUUGGAUCAAGUUCCAAAGUUGAAAAUUCAGACUGAAAAGUAUAAAAGCAUCAAAUGCCUCAAGGAAGUACUGUUGGAAUCCCAAUCAGAUACACCAACUUCAGCAAAUUCAAGCUACAGUUAUUAUCUGGAAGAAGAUGAUGGAGAGGUAAAUAUGGAUGAAAGUAUAAGCUCAAUCAGAACUGCAGGUGAAGAUGAUCUGCAACCAGAAGUUUGUGAUCAGAUGCCGCAGGCUUCUUGCUUCACAUUGGACCAACUAUGCACAAUGAUGAAUUUUCCACCUGCUUCUCAACAAAAAGUGCAGGAAGUUGAUCAAGUAAAUAUUAGUAGCUUCUCUUCUGGAAGAUUCCCCGAUUCUAUCAGUUGUUUUGAUUUAUCCAUCUUGGAACUUAGAAAUAAAAAGUCAGGCGCCCUCCAGGAUCGCAAUGUUGAAGACAAUUCAGCUCAGAGGACAUCAUGGAAACACAAUGCCCAAGUCACUAAUCAAGUGGCAACUGCAGCAUUGCAGAGUUGUAGGCUCAUGCAGAGGGAUGACCAGAAAAAAGUUAAGGAUAAGAAGGAGUACUCUCACUGCCAAAAUAACUUGAAUGAACUUUGUCUUCAAUCUGGAAAGGAUUCCAACAGUGAGUUAAUGGUGAUACUUGAGAAAAUUAUUUCAAGACUAUGCUUCUCAGAAGGAUUAGCAAAAUGUGAGGAAGACUAUGCUGUCAAAGUUACAGCCGUUUACAAAAUGUUAGACAGCAAAAAAGAAAUAAAAUACACAAUCUUAAAGGAUUUUAUUCUGGAUCAGCUGCUGACUGCUAUAUCAACAUCUAAAGAGGAAAAUGUCACAAGGGCAUCAAUUUCUAUUCUUACAAGUAUUGUGUCAAUAAACAAGUCAGCUAUAGAAGAUAUCAAGAAUAAGGGUUUGCGGUUGUGUGAUUUGGUAACUGCUCUAAAGCAAAAUAUGCAUGAGGCAGCUAUUCUUAUCUACUUUAUAAAUCCUCCCCCAGAAGAAAUAAAAACAUUAGAACUUUUGCCAGAAUUGAUGGAGAUUGUGUGCACUUCAAACAGCUAUAAAGGAAAACCAGCUUCAGAACUGCUGACACCUCCUGCAGCAUCAUUGAUGAUUAUUGAAAUACUAGUAACUGCAUUUGACUGCGAUACCAAUAACAUGCAGUUGGCUGCAAUCAGUUCUCCCCAUAUUCUUAGUAGGCUCCCAGAUGUUGCUAGAGAUAAUAAUUUGGAAGAAUGCAUCUCCAUGGCCAAAAUUUUUAUAAAAUGCAUGCAGUUUGAUGGACAAUGCAGAAAACAUAUAUCACAACUUACUCCUCUGGCUCCAUUUAAACGUCUACUACAAAGUAAUGAGAAGCGUGCCAAGUUCACAGCCCUUCAAUUUUUCCAUGAAAUCCUUUGCAUGCCAAGGUCAUCAGCCAUUAGCCUGUUGCAGCGGAUACGUAAAGAAGGAAGUGAUGACAUUAUGAACUUGCUGUUGCAGUGUGUCCAACAACUUCAAGCUGACUACCAACUUUUGGCAGCAAAUUUAUUACUGCAGUUAGAUGUUCUGGGACAUUCAUCUGGUAAAAGUAUGUUCAUGGAAGAGGCCAUGCAAAUCAUCCUCAAGUCGGUGGCAUCUGAAGAAAACUCUACUUUGCAACAAAUAUCUACUUUCAUUCUGGCAAACAUUGGAGGAACUUAUAGUUGGACAGGGGAACCAUACACAGUGGCCUUGCUGGUGAAAAAGGCUGGCGUGACCUCCUUGUAUCACCGGAAUAUGAUCAGAAACUUUAACUGGUCAGACCUUAGCCUGCAGGAUGCAGGAAUGGACUCAUGGUGUAGCAAGAUUGCAAAAGGCAUCAUUAGUAUUGGGAAACCUGUCUUCCAUGCUUUAGAGAAAGGCAUAAGAAGUAAGAUCAAGUGGGUCUCUAAGAACUCUCUCACAGCAAUCGCAUGGAUUGGAUGUGAAAUUGCCAAGUAUCCUAACAGCCUAAGAAAUUCUGCAUGUGAGAUACUGCUUAAUGGAAUUGAGCAAUUUCUGCAUCCAGGGGCAGCGCUUGAAGAAAGACUGCUAGCAUGUCUGUGCAUUUAUAACUAUACUUCAGGCAGAGGGAUGCAGAAACUAAUCCAUUUCUCAGAAGGAGUACGAGAGUCCCUAAGACGCUUUUCAAGUGUAACCUGGAUGGCUGAGGAACUACAUAGAGUAGCAGACUUUUACUUGCCCAACAAAUCUCGUAUAUCCUGUGUACAUACACAAAUUUUAGAGGCAAAACAGAGCAAAAGUGGAGCUGUAACUGCCCUUAUCUACUACAGGGGACUGCUUUACAGUGGCUAUUCUGAUGGUUCAAUUAAGGUGUGGGACAUCAAACAGCAGUCAGCCACUCUUGUAUGGGACCUGAAAGAGCACAAAAAGGCAGUGACAUGUUUUUCACUCUUUGAACCUGGGGAAAGCCUUCUAAGCGGAUCUGCUGAUAAGACCAUCAGGGUUUGGCAAAUGGUCCAUAGGAAAUUGGAGUGCAUUGAAGUUAUAGCAAUGAAGGAACCAAUUCAAAAGAUAGAAACAUAUGGCCAAAUGAUUUUUAUGAUCACCCAAAGCCAUAGGAUGAAGGUGUUUGAUUCAUCCAGAAUAGUAAGGGAGAUGAGCAAGACUAAGAGGGCGAAGUGCAUGUGUGCAGUCCAAGGGAAGCUUUACAUAGGCUGCAUGGAUUCAAGCAUACAGGAAGUAGCCACUGCAAACAAUAAGGAGAGAGAGAUCAAACCACCAAUAAAGAGUUGGAGGAUUCAAAACAAGCCAAUCAAUUCUAUUGUUGUGCACAAAGAUUGGCUUUACAGUGCGAGUUCAAUAGUUGAGGGUUCAAAACUUAAGGAAUGGAGAACACAAUACAAACCCCAAAUGUCAAUAGUAACAGAGAAAGGCAGAAAUAUACUAGCAAUAGGAGUGGUGGAAGACUUUAUAUACUUGAAUUGUAACUCAUCAACUAGUACGCUUCAGAUCUGGUUGAGAGGGACACAAAAGAAUGUGGGAAGGAUAUCAGCAGGCAGCAGAAUAACAAGCCUCCUCACAGCCAAUGACAUUGUUCUUUGUGGUACUGAGAAGGGAUUAAUUAAGGGCCUACCCAGGAGAUGGAGCCAGUUGAGCCGCAGUCCGUGAAGAAGCUUAGUUUUAAAUCCCUAAAGAGCGCGCUCGAUCUCUUCUCUCCAAUUCACGGCCAGCUAGCUCCUCCCGAUCCAGAUAGUUUUGUUGUUAGGAUUAGCUUGGCAUGAAGCGGGUGUGUGAUAAGUUAUAAUGGCAUUUGAAUUCACUAUGUGGAUAAAUGCCGAGUAAGGAAUUAAAAGCACAAAUGAACUUCCAAGAUCAGUUAAUUCUACUGCAACCAAUCCUGACAAUCAAUCUUCAGCACCUUCCAAUGCCCUCGCUCUUCCAGUUCUGCCGUAUACAGGAUCUAGUAUCGUUUGUUUUAUUUUGUUCAGGAAUUGCCUUGCCUCUGCCUCAGCUGACAACAUAAAGAAAUUCAGCCUUCAAAAGGAGAAUUCUUGCACAACAUGCUCUCUCAGCAGAAAACCAUCAUUAAUGCAAUGGCUAUCAAUGAGGAUGGUGUAAUGGUUACAGGAGGUGCGAAUUAUUUUAAUAUAAAUUAAUAAAUAAUUGGUUCAGUAUGAAUCAUCAUCUUAGUUCUACUGGUGUUGUAUGUCUUAAUGUGAUGAUUGGCAUCCACAGCUGACUGUGGGUUACAGGCUGGUAAAGUAAGGUUGAUAUGUAGCGUCAGCCCUAGCAGUGUGAUCAAUGGCCGUAAAAGCAUGAACUUGCCCCUCUAUACCUUAUUAACAACUGAAUCACUCAGUUGGGGUCUUGCUGGUCUGUACUAUGUCAAUUUUUAGGCUGAUCCAAAAAGAACAUUUGGCCUAAGUUUGUUUCAGUUUUGUUUGAUUGGACUGGAGGAGCAUAGAUAUAUUUUGACUUA